rnacentral:rRNA from 1 species
AGUCAAGUAAUUAAGUGCAUGUGGUGGAUGCCUUGGCAGUCAGAGGCGAUGAAAGACGUGAUAGCCUGCGAAAAGCUCCGGGGAGGCGGCAAAUAUCCUUUGAUCCGGAGAUGUCUGAAUGGGGGAACCCACCUACUUUAAGGUAGGUAUUGCAACAUGAAUACAUAGUGUUGCAAGGCGAACGAGGGGAAGUGAAACAUCUCAGUACCCUUAGGAAAAGAAAUCAAUUGAGAUUCCCUCAGUAGCGGCGAGCGAACGGGGAUCAGCCCAUUAAGUUAUGUGUGUUUUAGUGGAACGCUCUGGGAAGUGCGAACGUAGAGGGUGAUAUUCCCGUACACGAAAGGGCACACAUAAUGAUGACGAGUAGGGCGAGGCACGUGAAACCUUGUCUGAAUAUGGGGGGACCAUCCUCCAAGGCUAAAUACUCCUGACUGACCGAUAGUGAACCAGUACCGUGAGGGAAAGGCGAAAAGAACCCCUGUGAGGGGAGUGAAAUAGAUCCUGAAACCGCAUGCAUACAAGCAGUGGGAGCACCUUCGUGGUGUGACUGCGUACCUUUUGUAUAAUGGGUCAGCGACUUAUAUUCAGUAGCAAGGUUAACCGUAUAGGGGAGCCGUAGAGAAAUCGAGUCUUAAUAGGGCGUUUAGUUGCUGGGUAUAGACCCGAAACCAGGCGAUCUAUCCAUGAGCAGGUUGAAGGUUGGGUAACACUAACUGGAGGACCGAACCCACUGUCGUUGAAAAGCCAGGGGAUGACUUGUGGAUAGGGGUGAAAGGCUAAUCAAGCCUGGUGAUAGCUGGUUCUCCCCGAAAGCUAUUUAGGUAGCGCCUCGGACGAAUACCAUAGGGGGUAGAGCACUGUUUCGGCUAGGGGGUCAUCCCGACUUACCAAACCGAUGCAAACUCCGAAUACCUAUGAGUACUAUCCGGGAGACAGACUGCGGGUGCUAACGUCCGUAGUCAAGAGGAAAACAAUCCAGACCGCCAGCUAAGGCCCCAAAAUCAUAGUUAAGUGGGAAACGAUGUGGGAAGGCAUAGACAGCUAGGAGGUUGGCUUAGAAGCAGCCACCCUUUAAAGAAAGCGUAAUAGCUCACUAGUCGAGUCGGCCUGCGCGGAAGAUGUAACGGGGCUAAAACUAUGUGCCGAAGCUGCGGAUGUAUACUUUGUAUACGUGGUAGGGGAGCGUUCUGUAAGCCGAUGAAGGUGUGUUGAGAAGCAUGCUGGAGGUAUCAGAAGUGCGAAUGCUGACGUGAGUAACGACAAAACGGGUGAAAAACCCGUUCGCCGAAAGACCAAGGGUUCCAGUCCAACGUUAAUCGGGGCUGGGUGAGUCGACCCCUAAGGCGAGGCCGAAAGGCGUAGUCGAUGGGAAAAUGGUUAAUAUUCCAUUACUUCUGUGUAAUGCGAUGAGAGGACGGAGAAGGCUAAAUCAGCCUGGCGUUGGUUGUCCAGGUGAAAGGAUGUAGGCAUGUAUCUUAGGUAAAUCCGGGGUACUCUAUGCUGAGAUCUGAUAGCAAGCUGUACUUGUACAGCGAAGUGGUUGAUGCCAUGCUUCCAGGAAAAGUCUCUAAGCUUCAGUUACACAGGAAUCGUACCCGAAACCGACACAGGUGGUCAGGUCGAGUAGACCAAGGCGCUUGAGAGAACUCUGCUGAAGGAACUAGGCAAAAUGGUACCGUAACUUCGGGAGAAGGUACGCUGUUGUUGGUGAUGGAACUCGCUUCCUGAGCUGACGACAGCCGCAGAAACCAGGCCGCUGCAACUGUUUAUUAAAAACAUAGCACUCUGCAAACACGAAAGUGGACGUAUAGGGUGUGAUGCCUGCCCGGUGCUGGAAGGUUAAUUGAUGGGGUUAGCGUAAGCGAAGCUCUUGAUCGAAGCCCCAGUAAACGGCGGCCGUAACUAUAACGGUCCUAAGGUAGCGAAAUUCCUUGUCGGGUAAGUUCCGACCUGCACGAAUGGCAUAAUGAUGGCGGCGCUGUCUCCAGCAGAGGCUCAGUGAAAUCGAAAUCGCUGUGAAGAUGCAGUGUACCCGCGGCUAGACGGAAAGACCCCGUGAACCUUUACUGCAGCUUGACACUGAACUUUGACCUUACUUGUGUAGGAUAGGUGGGAGGCUUUGAAGCUGGAACGCUAGUUCCAGUGGAGCCGUCCUUGAAAUACCACCCUGGUAAUGUUGAGGUUCUAACUCUGUCCCGUGAUCCGGGACGAGGACCGUGUCUGGUGGGUAGUUUGACUGGGGCGGUCUCCUCCUAAAGAGUAACGGAGGAGUACGAAGGUGCGCUCAGCGUGGUCGGAAAUCACGCGUAGAGUAUAAAGGCAAAAGCGCGCUUAACUGCGAGACCCACAAGUCGAGCAGGUACGAAAGUAGGUCUUAGUGAUCCGGUGGUUCUGUAUGGAAGGGCCAUCGCUCAACGGAUAAAAGGUACUCUGGGGAUAACAGGCUGAUACCGCCCAAGAGUUCAUAUCGACGGCGGUGUUUGGCACCUCGAUGUCGGCUCAUCUCAUCCUGGGGCUGAAGCAGGUCCCAAGGGUAUGGCUGUUCGCCAUUUAAAGAGGUACGCGAGCUGGGUUUAGAACGUCGUGAGACAGUUCGGUCCCUAUCUACCGUGGGCGCUGGAAAUUUGAGAGGAUCUGCUCCUAGUACGAGAGGACCAGAGUGGACGAACCUCUGGUGUACCGGUUGUGACGCCAGUCGCAUCGCCGGGUAGCUAUGUUCGGAAGGGAUAACCGCUGAAAGCAUCUAAGCGGGAAGCCUACCUCAAGAUAAGAUUUCCCUAGGACUUUAUGUCCUCUAAAGAGCCGUUCGAGACUAGGACGUUGAUAGGUUGGAUGUGGAAGCAUAGUGAUAUGUGAAGCUGACCAAUACUAAUUGCUCGUGAGGCUUGACUAU